GUUUGUGGAGUUUUAAGAAUCAUAUAUUUAUUUGUGUUGAUAUUUUAAGUCAAAACAAAACCAGGACGUAGAGGAAUAAUGUUGGCGUUUGUUUUUGUUGUGUUUUUGCUGGCUGCUAGGACAACAGUUGGUUGAUGUACCACGAGCGGCCAUAUUUUCACACCGACUGGAAAUUGUUUUAUGUGGAUUUUUAAAGUACUUUGAGCUGGAUAAUAUAAAGAAACAUACCACGGAAG
rnacentral:lncRNA from 1 species